rfam:Ciona savignyi cont_19180, whole genome shotgun sequence.
GGUCCUGUGGCCCAAUGGAUAAGGCGCCUGACUACGAUUCAGGAGAUUCCAGGUUCGAGUCCUGGCAGGAUCG